rnacentral:rRNA from 1 species
GGCGAACGCUAGCGGCGUGCCUUAAGCAUGCAAGUCGAGCGAGACCUUCGGGUCUAGCGGCGGACGGGUGAGUAACGCGUGGGAACGUGCCCUUCUCUACGGAAUAGCCCCGGGAAACUGGGAGUAAUACCGUAUACGCCCUUUGGGGGAAAGAUUUAUCGGAGAAGGAUCGGCCCGCGUUGGAUUAGGUAGUUGGUGGGGUAAUGGCCCACCAAGCCGACGAUCCAUAGCUGGUUUGAGAGGAUGAUCAGCCACACUGGGACUGAGACACGGCCCAGACUCCUACGGGAGGCAGCAGUGGGGAAUCUUAGACAAUGGGGGCAACCCUGAUCUAGCCAUGCCGCGUGAGUGAUGAAGGCCUUAGGGUUGUAAAGCUCUUUCAGCUGGGAAGAUAAUGACGGUACCAGCAGAAGAAGCCCCGGCUAACUCCGUGCCAGCCGCCGCAGUAA